GUCUGUAUAAAGGGAAGCCGGGCUUUUGUUGGUUCAUUCCUCCCGAGCUUCUGGCACAACACAGCAGUAAAUGCUGGCCUAUUAUUACGGAUUAAUUUACCGAAACGUUCGGAUUGUGUGACAGUUACAGCGCGGCCGUUUCUCUUUUCCUUUUACUCCAGCCGUAGUGGAGAGAAGCGUUUGACUUACGUCCACUGUGCAGUAUAGCGCAUCCGGUCUUGGGGGUUCGAUUGCUGCCGCACCCUCUCAGUGAUCAAUCGCCUGAUUUUAAGUGAAGAGUUGAAACGCCUGCCUAGCUGCUGUUUCAGGGCUCCUCUGCAGUGGAGCUGCUGUCUUGUUUUGCGCCUGCUGUUUUGCCUCGCCUCGCCUCGUUGGGGCUUUGGGGUUUUACUUUGAGCUCCUUCUGGACUAUUCUUUGCACUCCAGCUCAGUGGCGUGUCCAGUGGGGUGGCCUGCCCCCCAACAAGACUGGCCACCCCAGGUGCCACCCCGAAGCUAUAACAAUAAAAUUCAAUCAAAUAUCAAAUGUACGAUUAUGUUUUCACAGUGAAGGUCAGAUAUCCGAGUGUAAGUGAAUGCAGCAUUGGCUUCUGCACUAUGAGCAUCACGUUAGCAAAGGAAGGAGAGCCAAGCACGAAAUACGGUACCGCAGAAAACAAUUUUUGGGCGAAAGAUAAGGAGGAGAGAAUAAAUGUCCUGGGCAGACCAGAAGAAUAGGAAGAAUGAAAAGAUCUCAAAAUGUUGAGAAUUUCUUCCUUAAGAAGGCUAAAAUACAACCAGAAGCAGAGAGCAAUGUCAGGGAAAGGUGGACUGAGCAGCAGUCAUCAUUGUCACCUGUGAGUUCUACAAAUGAAGUGAGAAGGAGAGAGGCAAACUGGGAGUGACAGAGUGGCUGCGUCAGAAACCGCAGGGGAAAACACGUUACAUGAAUAAAAGCAACUCAGAAGUGUCUGUGUGUGGGUCCUGUGUCACAAAAAUAUUACGAUAAACAGUACUGAACAUUGCACUUGGGUUUUGCGGGACAAGCACAGAGCUGAGUCCACUGUCAAAGGCAAGAAGAUCAUUUGUAACCUUCACUAACACUGUAC
ensembl:lncRNA